AAUGCGAUAAGCAAUGUGAAUUUCAGAAUUCAGUGAAUCAUCGAAUCUUUGAACGCACAUUGCGCCCGCCAGUAUUCUGGCGGGCAUGCCUGUUCGAGCGUCAUUUCAACCAUCAAGCCCCGCGCUUGUGUUGGGGACCUGCGGCUGCCGCAGGCCCUGAAAACCAGUGGCGGGCUCGCUGUCACACCGGGCGUAGUAGAUUUUAUCUCGCUCAGGGCGUGCUGCGGGUUCCGGCCGUUAAAAAGCCUUUUUUACCCAAGGUUGACCUCGGAUCAGGUAGGAAGACCCGCUGAACUUAAGC
rnacentral:misc_RNA from 1 species